GCGCCCGUACUCCAAUUGGUAGAGAGACAGGUCUUAGGAACCUGGUGUUGUCGGUUCGAAUCCGACCGGGCGCA
rfam:Streptomyces malaysiense strain MTSC 136 119, whole genome shotgun sequence.